rnacentral:rRNA from 1 species
UGGGGAAUAUUGCACAAUGGGCGAAAGCCUGAUGCAGCAACGCCGCGUGAGUGAUGAAGGCCUUCGGGUUGUAAAGCUCUGUCUUUUGGGACGAUAAUGACGGUACCAAAGGAGGAAGCCACGGCUAACUACGUGCCAGCAGCCGCGGUAAUACGUAGGUGGCAAGCGUUGUCCGGAUUUACUGGGCGUAAAGGAUGCGUAGGCGGAUUUUUAAGUGAGAUGUGAAAACCCUAAGCUUAACUUGGGGACUGCAUUUCAUACUGGAAAUCUAGGGUGCGGGAGAGGAGAAUGGAAUUCCUAGUGUAGCGGUGAAAUGCGUAGAGAUUAGGAAGAACACCAGUGGCGAAGGCGAUUCUCUGGACCGUAACUGACGCUGAGGCAUGAAAGCGUGGGUAGCAAACAGGAUUAGAUACCCUGGUAGUCCACGCCGUAAACGAUGAGUACUAGGUGUAGGAGGUAUCGACCCCUUCUGUGCCGCAGUUAACACAAUAAGUACUCCGCCUGGGAAGUACGAUCGCAAGAUUAAAACUUAAAUGAAUUGACGGGGGUCAUAGCUGUUUUCCU